GUAGAAAUAGAUCUAAAAUGAGCAAAAGAAUCCAUGCCCUUAUUAAGAAUCUUUCACAAUGUAUGCUGUGAUGACAGGGGUGUGUGUAUAUGUAUAACAUAAAUGCAUAUAUAACAUAUGUAUAUACAUCGACAUACCUAUAUUUGUUGACCAAGUCUAAGGGCAAUGGAUCACAUAAAGUGGAAGACUUAAUUUAAAUGUUCAGAGUUCUGACAAAUUUCCAUUACAGAAGAAACCUUCCAAGGUCAUCUUUGUUACUGGGAGAUCAUCAUGAUAAGCAAAAUAAGGGAGAUACUGUCUAAGUUUUGUCUCAUAUGGAAAACAUGGAACUAGAAUGAGAGUAUUUGGGAGAAGAGAAGAAGGCUGCAUAGACGGGCUGGAGAUGGUGAAGAGGAUGGGUGAGUAUAUGGUCAUAGUAAAUGACUUUAAUGGAAAUGUCAUUAUGAGAUAAUAAUAUGUACAGUGAACAUAAACUAAAAAAGAAAAGUUCAAAGCAAAAAAUAAAAAAGUUUAAAUAAAUAAAAAUAAAACUGCAAAUUGAAAAGAAUCUGAUUCAACUCAUAGAAGCAGUUGCAAGGACGAAGAUCACUUUUUUUUUCAGGAGGGGAGGGGGAUUUGUUUUGAUUUGUUGUUGUUUUCUUUUCUUUUUAGCAUGAGAUGUGAGUUCAUUUUGUUCUUUUUUCUUUUAUCAUGGGCCUUAAAAGGUAUUCUGUCCAGAUUAUUAAAGGCUACUUUAAAAAUGAUUUAAUAGGAACAACCUUGGGCAACAAGCUAAAUAGCUUUAGUUUGAAGAAUUAGUGUUAUGAGAAUUUUGGUUUCUUUAAAAACCCAGUUAUUUUAUGUGAGUAUUUUUGUUUGUUUGUUUGAAUCCCAGGUAUGGGAUAAGAGGCUGCUUCACAGCAGGUGAUUAUGAUUUGCCUCGUGCAGUAGCAGAAGCGUGAUCUUUGCCAGCUGUAGACAGUUUAAUUCUGGGGACUCUGGAGAGGGUAUAAAUGAGAGAGCCCUGAAAGGGCCUGAGACAGUGGCUGCUCCCCCUGCUGCUGUCCCAAUUGCUGCUGGUGCAAUUUGUCCAUGAGCAAAGAAACCAGAAGAAGUUGGAGAUAUCCUGGCGACAAAGCCUCUGAAUUGACAAGAUACAGAUUAUUCUCCAGCAGCCUGGACUGUGCAGCAGUGUUUGCAGUGGUGCUCAGGCCAGCCGUGUAGCUACAAACUGAACGAACUGCUUGGUGCAUCCCCUGCUAGUGCCCUAUGCCCUAUGCCCCACUCCUAUCUCCAGAUAGAUUCUCCUGACCCACUUAUGAAGCAAAAGACCUCGGGCUAUAAUGGCUCAGGCCAGAGGAAUAGUGAAAUGUGGGAAUGUACCUUUUGUGUUUUGAGCUUGUUGUCGGCACGCUGGAAUUUGUACCAGAUAGAUUUCAAGAUGGAAGCAAAGGGAGUGACCCCAAUCCCUGCCCCAACCAGUACAGCCACUUCAUACUGGAAAACAUCCUCACUGACUGUGCCAAAGGGACCGUCCACCUCGAUCCUAGCAAAUGAGAAAAGACAACUUUCAUAACAGACUUGUUUUCUCUUUUCUGUUACUCUACAUCUUGUUUUGAGUCUCAAGGACCUACCUGGGCAUUGGUGAGUGCUGUUGUUCAAAUGUCCUUAUGAGAUUUCGUGUCCAGUCCCCUGCUGCUCGAAUAUGAACGGAGAAAAAUUCUUCCUCUGGAGCAGAAGUCAGAGUGAAGGGAUGCCACUCCAGGAAGGAAAUGGAGGGGCAAUUUACAAAUAUAUACUGUCCUACUUCCAUGCUAAAGCCUCGCUUCCUCAUCUGCAAUUCCAAAACAUUAGAUGGGUGCAUGACAACCUGUGAAUGAAACACAGAGAUCAUUAGAGGCAAACUCCAAACAUGAAAAGGACAGACAUUUAAAUAGAUGAAGAAAGCCCAAGUGCAUCUAACUUAUAGUACAUGGUCAAGUCCUCUCUAGAAGGCACUCCCUAAGCUACUACUUAGCUCCAGACAAGGUUCUGUGUUGUCAGGGUUCCUGAUACUUCAAGAGAAGCAAAAAAAAAAAAUCUUUAAGAUUAUUAUAUUUUAGUUAUCUUACAAAAUUAUGGAUUCCAUUGUGAAAUAUAUAUACAUAUCACUGUGAUAUAUAUAUAUGUAUUUACAUAUGUGUGCAUUAUAUAUGUAUUAUAUAUACACACGUGUAUGUAUAUAUGUGUAUAUACAUAUGAUAUAAUAUAAUAUAUGUACCUUGCUCAUGUUUGCUUCAGGCUUCCCCUCUCUGCAGGUACCCUUUUCCCUGAGUAGGCAGUUUUCUGCUUUCCCCUCACAAUCUCUUCAUUUCACUCAUAGUUCUCCUUUGCUUCCACACUCUAUGUACAUUUCUAUUUCAUUCAUAUUUAUCACAAACAUGAGAAAGUGCUUAUUUUGCUUAAAAUGAUAAUCUCCGGUUCUCAUCUAUUUUUCUGUAAAUGACUUCAUUCCAUUCUUCUUUAUGAUUGAAUAAAAUCUUAUUGCGUUUUUUUAACAGUUA